rnacentral:rRNA from 1 species
GAUGAACGCUGGCGGCGUGCUUAACACAUGCAAGUCGAACGGAAAGGCUCCUGCUUGCCGGGGUACUCGAGUGGCGAACGGGUGAGUAACACGUGGGCGAUCUGCCCUGCACUUCGGGAUAAGCCUGGGAAACUGGGUCUAAUACCGGAUAGGACGAUGGUUUGGAUGCCAUUGUGGAAAGUUUUUUCGGUGUGGGAUGAGCUCGCGGCCUAUCAGCUUGUUGGUGGGGUAAUGGCCUACCAAGGCGUCGACGGGUAGCCGGCCUGAGAGGGUGUACGGCCACAUUGGGACUGAGAUACGGCCCAGACUCCUACGGGAGGCAGCAGUGGGGAAUAUUGCACAAUGGGCGCAAGCCUGAUGCAGCGACGCCGCGUGGGGGAUGACGGCCUUCGGGUUGUAAACUCCUUUCGCUAGGGACGAAGCGCAAGUGACGGUACCUGGAGAAGAAGCACCGGCUAACUACGUG